CCUGGUUCGGCACUUUCCAUUCAUGUGCGUUGAACCGAACGCUAGAUCCCUGGCGGCCGUUCGCAUGGACCAAAACCGUAAAUAGACUUCAGGGGUACUUGUCAGGAUUACUAAUUGAGCCCGCAUGCAGAUCUAUAUCAUACCAAGGGCUAAAAGGUAACGUCUUACCGGGCCUUCGAAAGGCCGGACUUAACAUACCAGAGAAUAGUCAGAAUUCGUUCGGGAGUUUUUU